rnacentral:rRNA from 1 species
AUACGUAGGGGGCGAGCGUUGUCCGGAAUGAUUGGGCGUAAAGGGCGCGUAGGCGGCGCGGUAAGUCUGGAGUGAAAGUCCUGCUUUCAAGGUGGGAAUUGCUUUGGAUACUGCCGCGCUUGAGUGCAGGAGAGGUUAUCGGAAUUCCCGGUGUAGCGGUGAAAUGCGUAGAGAUCGGGAGGAACACCAGUGGCGAAGGCGGGUAACUGACUGCAACUGACGCUGAGGCGCGAAAGUGUGGGGAGCAAACAGGAUUAGAUACCCUGGUAGUCCACACUGUAAACGAUGAAUGCUAGGUGUAAGAGGUAUCGACCCCUUUUGUGCCGGAGUUAACACAAUAAGCAUUCCGCCUGGGGAGUACGGCCGCAAGGUUGAAACUCAAAGGAAUUGACGGGG